rnacentral:lncRNA from 1 species
GGGCCACACCUGCAGCAUAUGGAGGUUCCCAGGCUAGGGGUCAAAUCGGAGCUACAGCUGCCAGCCUACGCCACAGCCACAGCAACUCAGGAUCUGAGCCAUGUAUCUAUGACCGACACCACAACUCACAGCAACGCUGGAUCCUUACCCACUAGGCGAAGUCAGGGAUCGAACCCACAACCUCAUGGUUCCUGGUUAUUUUCGUUUCUGCUGAGCCUGAUGGGAACUCCUGCAAAUCCCCUGUUAUUUUAUGGAACUUGUAUUAAUAUCUCAUAGAUAUGGUAUUCCAAAAGAAGCCACAUUCUCUUUCCUGACAUAAAUUUUAGAAAGGCUAGGUAAAUGGAAUAAUGAAUGGAGAGAGAAAACACCAGCUGGCCAUGGCUUUGACCCCACACCUGGCACUUCCUUGUCUUCUGGGUUCAUCACUGAAUAAGCAUGAGUGAUCAAUCUCUAACGUUUUGUUCAAUCAUUUGCAGAGCUACCCUCAUAGCACCACGAAAAAGCAUGAGGGUCCUUCUCUCCAGCAAUGAUCAGUUCAGGCUAAGCCUUGGUGCUGAAAGUGGGAGAAAAGGCAGGGAGAGCCCUGUAAAACCGGAGGAGCUCAUGGAGUGAAGAUUAUUUACACUGUGUGCCUACACCAGGGGGGGUCCACUAAAAUUUACUAUCUCAUCCUAGUCUUUGAGAUAUGCUUAAAGACCCAGAGUUCAGGUUGCUUUAGUGGGUCAUUCUGUGUCUGAUGGAUGCACCUGCCCGCUCUCUCCCGCACCAGAGCAGAACACAAAACACUGUCACAUCCAAUGUGAUGGGAUCACAUGUCUUCAGACCCUUUUUAUGAGGGUGACUCUCUAAAAUGCCAUCAUUAUUCACUAUUAUUUAAGGAGGAGGAAGGAGAGGCACGGAAGGGAAGUUUUACCCCUCAGAGGGAAAGCCUCAGGUGAACCUUCUGGCUACCAGAAUAUAUCGUUCAGAAUAUACAGUGGGUAGAGAAGAUACCUUGCAAUUACGACAUCAAAACAAAUUAAUUCCUACCAUGUCCCACGUCCAGCUGAGUCAGACUGCCCUAUCCUCAGAGUCAGAAAUGUAUAACAAGUCAGUCAAGUCAUUAACAGGUUAUGCAUUUUGCAAUGUCACUGACCAGAAUGUUUAGUGAGUGAGUAAAAUUAACCUAACUUCCAACACGAACUUUGCAUCUUUCCAUGUAAAGGUACUUAUACCUCUUUUCAUAUUUCCAAAUACUCCUGUCAAGCACACUCUGUUUUAACAAUAAACAGACUUAUGGAAUAACUUAAGUUUGUAUUGUGCUUUACAGUUUACUAAGUACUUUCAUGUACAGGUCUUCUUUUAUCCUCAGUAUAAUUCUGAUGGAUCUUAGUGUCUUCAUUUUCUGAUGUAGGAAUUAGGAUUAUUGCUAAACUAAUAUCCAGCAGAGACUGAACCCCAGACUCUGAUUCCAGAUUUAGCCUGUCAGUUCCCCACAAUUGGCACUGAAGGAUUUCCCUUCUAAGCCCACGGCAAUCUCAAUUCUUUUCUAUACUUCUUGUUCCAUGUACUAAUAAAAUUCCAAGCACAUUUCUGGAAACUAUAUUCUUUUUCUAGUUACUCCAUGUGUCUCUGCCUCCUCUACCCAAUUCAAACACAAGCCUUUGGUGACACUGUACUUUCAGGGACCCCUGAAGAACGUUCCUUCCCUCUAGACCCCAUUCAACCAGGUUUAACCCUCGGCGACAGAACCCAGCACAAGCCAGGAGGGGCGCAUUCCCACCCCUCACAAACUCUCUGCCUUUCUCAAGCCCCGUCCUUGAGUAGGGAGGAGACUCUCCCGUGUGCUGCGUGCUGCUGGAACACCAGCUGACGUCCGGGGUGGACGCACACCACUGCCCUCUGCUGCAGGUGUCCGUUUAUCAUAUGUCUCCCACUUGACCUUGGUCAUCUUGAGAAGGGCGACCUUGGGUCACUUUUUUCUUUGAAUCCCCAGAACCUCAUACACAGUAGGUUGUCACUAAUUAAUAAAUAUUUUAAUUUAAAAAGUAACCCGAGAUCAAUUAAGGCAGUUAGUGUCUUUGAGAGGUUCCCAGUCUCACGGGGAAGAAAAACAUAUACACAGACUACAGCCAAUAACAUGAGGCACUGUACCUCCGGGGUACAGAUGGGUUCAAGGGGCUCUGGGAGCACAGACAGGUAGGGACCCAAGGCAGUCGGCCCUCAGAGACAGUGAAGUUGGGCAGAAACUUCAAGAAGAGUAGACACUCUCAGCCAAGGUGCAUAAAGCUGACAGGAAAAGGGUGGGAGUGGGUGGCGAACAGGGGUGGCAGGCGAUUCAGGGGUUUGGUUUGGGGGGCAGCAUAGCAGCCCCUUCUCUGGGGGAGCUGCCGCUCUCUUCAGCCAGUCUUGUGGUUCUAAUAGUAUCUGCUCAUGAUAUCUCGUUCCCCUGGCCAGGAAGACUUCCCAAAGGUUUUGCAAAUGUCUUCGGGCUCACAGAAGAAACAGAGUGAGAAAAUAAAACUGGCCCAGAGAGAUAAGCCAAGGAGAAAGUUGGUGGAAGUGUGUUGUGGAAGCACCCCAGUCCCUGAUCCAGUGGUUUCUGGAAUCUGGUGCACCUCUGCCGUUCCUGAAGUCUGGUUUUCUACCUCAGCUGAGUCAAGCUGGGUUUCUGCCACUUGCAAACACAAGAAUCCUGAUCAAUGCUAAGACCUUAAAAAAAAUCUCCCACAACACGCACAGAGGUAGGCACAAAGUAGCUACUCAAUAUUUUACUCCUCAAACAGACCUAUUUCCAUCAUCGAGUUCAACCUCUUUAUUUAAAGAUGGGGACACAGGCUUACAUAAUUUCCCCAAGAGGUUCUACAAAAGAGUUUACAUCAGAACCUGAACUUUUCUCAGACCAGUGUUCAAUACACACAGACUGCUUCCUUUGCUGUUUGCUGGCUAAUAAGCCUCAAAGGGUUCCUAUUUGGUGGGGAAAAAAAAGGAAGAAAAAAAUCAAAAUGGACAAAAAAUUCCUGAAAGGACUGUAAAGUGAUGACAUUAUUGUUUUUUAGUUAAUUCUGUACCAAAUAGUCCCUGACAUGCACCUGCCUCUGGGGUAGGUGGAUAUUUUGAGACAAGGCACCCUCCUUGACCUCAAGGAGUUCACCAAGCAGAGUGAGGAGACUGCACAGGGUAUCAGAGCUCACAGACGCUCAAAUGAGCCAUCUGGGAGAAUAUGCACUUGUUAUGUUUGCAAGUGCUGGUAAGUCUCUUUUGAACCAGUUAUGAGCCAAACAAAAGUGUCACCUCAUAAUUUCAUAGCUGCAUUUAAAUUCAUGUUAAUCAAAAAUAGUACCAUUUCAGCUGGACCAACUGGAUACGGCACUUGGUUUUUAGAAAAUGCAAAAAAGCCUCCAAAGACAAUGGUUUCCUCCUACUAAGUAUAUUCAAAAGAAAAGGCGAUGGGUUCUGAGGUCUACUGUCAAAUAGGAGGUUCGAAGAUGUUUCGCCCAAGGCUAGGCAGCAUCACUGCCCUGAAGGGAACAGCACUAUUCAGGAAGGGUAAAUGUUUAUGAUGCAUUGUUAAAAUAAUGAAUUCUAGAGUUUACAUUACCUUUCCAGACAGGCAUAUAUCUGCCUAGAGGCAGGUGCCAGUAUCACCUGAAGUCACCUUGCAUCUCUUCCCUCCAGCUCUGAUUCUGCCACCGCUUACACUGGUUUUCUCUAAGUCUGUGAUGGGCUGGAGAGCUAUUUCCGUCCUAGUUCUUCUCCUUAUAUAGGUCAAAUCCCAUUCCAAUGAGCACCAUAACAAUAACCACCUCAUGGCCUGGUUAUUUUAGACAGCCUGAUAAAAUGAGAAUUAAGCAUGACCUCCCAGCCAGAGUCGGCUGUUAGAGAACUUGACCUGAAUAUUAUUUAAGCAAGGAGGCAGCCAGUUUCUUAUGUUUUUAUCUUUGUGGCCCUGGGGCAUGGCAAAACAGUCAGACAGAGGUACAGAAUCAUCAUCAGUGAGUCCAAACCACAGUACUCAGGUUCCUGCAUCAGUGACUCCUACUACAUGAUGGGCCCUGAGAAAUCAGAAGGUCUGGGGGCUCAAUGCUGAGAGUCUCCCUGUAAGAAGAGUCUCUGUGUUCAGGAGUUCCCAUUGUGGCUCAGCAGGUUAAGAACCCAGCUAGUAUCCAUGAGGAUGCGGGUUUGGUCCCUGGCUUUGCUCAGAGGGAUAAGGCUUUGGCAUUGCUGUGGCUGCGGCGUAGGCCAGAAGCUGCAGCUCCCAUUCAACCCCUAGCCUCGGAACUUCCAUAGGCCGCAGGUGCAGCCCUAAAAUGAAAAAUUAAAAAAUCAAAAAUUAAAAAAAAAGAAUCUCCAUGUUCUGUCCACUCCAGCCAAAGGAACUGUUCAUCCUAAUUCAGGUUAUAAAUAAGCCCUCUUGUCACACUGGGCAUCUCCAACCUGAGGUUUUUUCCCCUCUAUUCUUUCCCAGUAGGGCUGGAUUCCUGUGUCUUUUUGCAUGUGUUGCUGUUUCUUAGAACGAAGCCCUGGCUGUCACACUCGCCAAUGCUCCUCCACAAGAAGGUAAAUUCCCCCAGGAUAGAGCUUCGUUUGUUCGGCUUCCAGCUCUGUGUAACAUCUGAAUCCUCUUGCUAGAAAGCUUGCUGCACAAGAAUGUGAAAUGUCAUGUCUAGAACAGUGCCUGGCAGACAGUAAAUGCUCCAUCACUGUUCGCUAAAGGGUGCAAGUCCAACGCCAUCCCUUCCUCUCCCGGAGCAGUCGAGGGUCUCUCCUCUGACCUUGUUGUCCUGUUAGCGUCUCUCUGUUCUGACAGUAUGGGAUGCCCUACUCAUGCUCUAUCAGUUUUCCCAGCUGAACUGGAAAAUACUAUGUUUGAUAGCUCCAUGUCUUCUGUGCCUGAAACAGUAAGAGUUCGCUCACUGCUUAUUGCUUCAAUGAUUGAAAGAAUGAAUUAAAAUGUUUCUUUGGUAACAAUCAAGGCUGAGGAUUUAUGACUUAACAUCAUGCCUCAAGUUUGGCCUGGACUCCAGCGCUUUCCAAGCCGAAGCAGCCGUGAGUCACCGGGCUGGGCAGGGAGGGGAGGGGAGUUUGUUUGCGGAGGACUUGUUUCCCGACCUCGAUGAAUCACAUGUAUAAUCACCCCAACUGCAUCCUGUCUGGGGAAGUAACCAAAAUCCCUAUUUCUGGCCUUAAUGGCUUUUUGGUUUUAUGAGUAAAUGCCACUGGCAUGCCAUUAAAUAAAUGCCCUCGGAAAGCCCUCAGCCAGUGCUGUGACCUGUGACAGGCAGGUUGUUGAAGAGCAGCCUUGGGAAUGGAGCACAAGACCAAAGAAGUAGGCUAUGCGUCCCACCUGGACCGUCGCUCUCAGAACUACCUGGUGACCUUGCUUCUGAGUUCUUUCCAAACAUCUGUUAGGCUCUUUUCUGGUAAAUCACAGGUAUGAUCAGGCCAUUCUCCUACAGAAAAAUAUGCAGUGGUUCUCAUCAUCUCCAGAAGACAGACCAAACUUUUUCACCUAGAACACCAUCUAUAUCCUGGCUCUGACCUACUUCACCCACUUUUCCUUCCCAUGCCCCCACAUAACCAGAUGCUCCAAACAGAAUGACUUUCUGAUCACAUAUAAUCCUAUUCUUUGCUCUAUGACUUUGUUUCCUGCUUCCUCCUCGUAUGUCCACCCCCUACCACUUCCAGAUGUCUAAAGAAAUGCCACACCCUCCACAAUAUCAUCCGCAGCCGUCCAAUAAGAAAGAAUAAAGUCUCCUUCAAGGACGCUCAGAUUCCAUUGGGGCUGCCGUUCCACUAUCUCUAAUGUGCUUGGGAAACAUGUAUGUGCAUGUUCGUUUCUCUAGUAAAUCAUUUCCGGACGAAUAUCUGAAUCUUAGUCAAUGUGAUGUUCCUUCGACUCCUAGCAGUGCUGGCCACAGUGGACACUCCAAAUAAAAGUUAGCUGAGUGGAAAAAGAGAACGAGUUCCACUGUUCAAAUCCUCAUCUUUGAGAAUCUUCAGGAAAGGUGUGACAUAGAAGUUUCUUAUUCUCACUCUCCUAUUUUAUCCCUUACCUCCUCUCCAAGAGAACACAAGAUUAAGAAAACCUUUGGUCUCUGCAAAUAACUUGGUUUUAUAUCCAUGAAGCCUCAAGGCCAGUUAUCUGUUCUAGACGUUCUUCCUCCUGAUAGCCAGCACCUCAGGGCCCACCUUGCUAGUAAGGCAGAACAACUUCAGAGGAAAAAACAGAAUUUUGGUCAUUAACUGAGUCAAACAAAAAGAUAGCUGAGAGGGUAUCUGUCAUUUCAAAGAGCAAACUUUUAAAAAGAUAGCAUAUUCUAAAAACAAAGACUUUUCUGUUACUGGCUGUUUGGGAAUAUCCACGCCCCAGUGCCAAUGUCAGGGUGGGCAUACUCGUUCAGUGUGGAUAAGUGAGAGCUGAAGCAAUAAAGCUUAGCUUUGUCUGAUCGCAAAGCAGUGCAGUCUCCUUUCUGUUGGUUGGAAUGACUGCUUAUGAGAACAGGGAUAUAGAAGCAGAACAGGGUUAAAAUCACCUAGGGCGAGGUCAAAGAACGAGAGAACGGAACGUCAAGCAUUUUGCUUCCUCUGCUGUCUUUGGGCAAUGACCACUUCUGAGCAGAUGAGAGAUGGACGGCCACCACUGCAGCUUGAGAGCCACCUCGACACGCUGCCAUCAGGGCAACGCCCUUCCCUCCCCAGGUGUCAUCCUGCCACACCACGUAAUGGCUGAAGGACCACAGAAAAGCCUGCAAUGUCUUCGCCUGCGAGGUGAGGAUGAUGCCUCUGACAAGGUACCAGUGUUAGAUCUUAUAAACUGUAAAGUACUGCUUCGAUAUUAGUUGUUGGUGCAAAUUCAGAGGUUUUUCCUA